rnacentral:rRNA from 1 species
UUCCUCUAGUAUAAGUAAUUACAGGUAAUCUCUGCCCUAUGAAAGCUUAAAUGGCCGCAGUAUACUAACUGUGCUAAGGUAGCAUAAUAAUUUGUCUAUUAAUAGUAGAAUAGAAUGAAGGAGAAAACGAAAAAUCAGCUGUCUCAAACUUCAAAAUAAAAAUUAUUCUUUAAGUGAAGAAACUUAAAUAAUUCUGUAAGACAAGAAGACCCUAUAAAGCUUUAUAAAAUGUAUAUAUUUAUUAUUCUUAUAUUCGGUUGGGGCGACCUAGGUAUAAUAAAACAACCUAUAAAAACAUAGAUUUAUAAUUCAUAAAUAGAUCCGUAAAGCUAAAAAAUUAAGCUACUUUAGGGAUAACAGGCUAAAAUAUUUAAAGAGUUCUUAUCAACAAAUAUGCUUGGCACCUCGAUGUUGGCUUAAGAUACCUAGAUGGCGCAGUAGCUGUCUAAGGUGGUAGGUUUGACCAUUAAAUUCUU